rnacentral:rRNA from 1 species
AUAACUCCGGGAAACCGGAGCUAAUACCGGAUAGUUCCUUGAACCGCAUGGUUCAAGGAUGAAAGACGGUUUCGGCUGUCACUUACAGAUGGACCCGCGGCGCAUUAGCUAGUUGGUGGGGUAAUGGCUCACCAAGGCGACGAUGCGUAGCCGACCUGAGAGGGUGAUCGGCCACACUGGGACUGAGACACGGCCCAGACUCCUACGGGAGGCAGCAGUAGGGAAUCUUCCGCAAUGGACGAAAGUCUGACGGAGCAACGCCGCGUGAGUGAUGAAGGUUUUCGGAUCGUAAAGCUCUGUUGUUAGGGAAGAACAAGUGCGAGAGUAACUGCUCGCACCUUGACGGUACCUAACCAGAAAGCCACGGCUAACUACGUGCCAGCAGCCGCGGUAAUACGUAGGUGGCAAGCGUUGUCCGGAAUUAUUGGGCGUAAAGGGCUCGCAGGCGGUUUCUUAAGUCUGAUGUGAAAGCCCCCCGGCUCAACCGGGGAGGGUCAUUGGAAACUGGGAAACUUGAGUGCAGAAGAGGAGAGUGGAAUUCCACGUGUAGCGGUGAAAUGCGUAGAGAUGUGGAGGAACACCAGUGGCGAAGGCGACUCUCUGGUCUGUA